AUUGAACGCUGGCUGCAGGCUUAACACAUGCCUGUCGCAAGCGAGGCGGACGGGUGAGUAAUGCUUGGGAAUCUAGCUUCUGGAGGGGGAUACCUACGGGAAACUUUAGCCAAUACCGCGUACCUUAGGGAGAGCCCACGUUGGAUUAGGUAGUUGUGGGAGUAAAGGCUUCCCAAGCAGACGAUCUCUAGCUGGUCUGAGAGGAUGACCAGACACACGGGGACUGAGACACGGCCCCGACUCCUACGGGAGGCAGCAGUGGGGUAUAUUGCGAAAUGGGGGCAACCUGACGCAGCCAUGCCGCGUGAAUGAAUAAGGCCUUCGGGUUAUAAAGUUCUUUCAGUCGGGAGGCGUUACUCGCAGAAGAAGCACCGGAUAACUCCGUGCCAGCCGCCGCGGUAAUUC
rnacentral:rRNA from 1 species